rnacentral:ribozyme from 1 species
UUUUUUUUUUUUUUUUUUUUUUUUUUUUUUUUUUUUUUUUUUCAUUC